GCCUUCGUAGCUCAGGGGAGAGAGCGGCGGUUUCCGGGACCGCAGGUCGCAGGUUCGAUUCCUGCCGGGGGCG
rnacentral:tRNA from 1 species